AUGUGAUUGAUACUGCAUUUGCCUUUGAUCAUUUUUAAUGAAGAUUUAUUUUUGCAGAAUAUACUUAAUAUCUUUCUAAGCAGUAAGUAAAUGGAAUUAAACAAUUUAUAUUUAAAUAAUAAGAUCUGCUCUAGGUUCCUCCAAUAGUAUGAUUUUCAAACCUCCACCUACAUUGCUUAUAUGUGGAAUCCUUGAACUGGCACUUUUUGCUUGCCUGCUCUAAAUGUCACAAUAAAUUAAAUGUUUUAAAUAAUAAAU
rnacentral:lncRNA from 1 species